rnacentral:lncRNA from 1 species
UCUGCCUAUAGAGGCCUGGGGUCCCUUUGGCAGCACUUUUCUCAAGAAAGUAGAGUCGUGGACAACCAACUGCACAGGUUGGGAGGCUUUGAAGAACAAGCUGCCAUGAAUCCUGCAGCUACAAGGAAAUGAACUCUAUUAACUUGAGUGAGCUUAAAACUAGAUCCUUCCCCAGUCAAGCCUCCAGGUGAGAAUUCAAUCCUGGCUGGCACCUGGAUUGCAGCUUACAGAAGACCCAGCUAAGGCCAUGUCUGGACUUUAAAUCCACAGGAACUGCAAGAGAACUGUUUGAUACACGCAACCAGGACUGUAUGAGAGGCUGGAAACGUAUCUAUCAGUACUACUUAUCUGUAGUAAAGACUUUUUUAAGCUCAUUUAUGAUUGCACAACCUAAAUAACCAUACAUGGCUGGGCCUGGGAAAGGCAGAAAGGCAGAUGGAUGGUAUCAGAAGUGGGACCUGCAGUGGGGCAUCUAGCAACCCCCAGGAGCAUUGAGUGACCAGGCUUGGGACCCACCGGGCGCAGGGUGUCCAUUGUUCUCUCGAAGCAACUGAGAAUUGUGGAUAUUCUUCAUUAUUCCAUCAUCAUCUCAAACCUCUUGGGUAUAGUGUUUGACUACUACUGUGACCAUAAAUUCCAAUAAAACCUAGGAAAAAUGAAACCACUACAUUAACUGAAAGGGAAGGAUUUGACAGCUUCUUUUGGGCAUAUCAGAAUCGCCAGCAUCACUACUCUUGCACUGUGCGGCCAUUAUUAAGUGAAAUAAGGAUUACUUGAACACAAGCACUGCAAUGCCGCUACAGUCAAUGUGAUAACCCAGCUGGUGACUAAGUGACCAAGGACGGGGAGUAUCUACAGCGGGGAGACUCUGGAAAAAGGGAGGAUUCACAUCCAGUGCCACUGGGGCAGGGCAGAAUGAGAGUUCAUCAUGCUACAAAGAAUGGCACAGAAUAUACGACUUGUGAGUGGAUUAUCUCUGGAAUUUUCUGUUGACUACAUUUGUACUACAGUUGUAUGUGGGUAACAAACUGUGGAAAGUGAAACUUCGGGUAAGGGGGAGGCUACCGUAGAUAGCCCAGUAUUUCUUAUUUUGUGGAUUUGUUUAUCUUUCUGCUCACAUCCUUUUCCUUCUGCAUUACCAUUUUAGUAAAAAUAGAUAGCAUCCA